rnacentral:lncRNA from 1 species
UUAGCCGGUUGGGGAUGGAAGUGGAACACGAGGUGCCGCCUGACGACGGGCCGUUGGGUUCUUGUGAUGUGCGUGCGUGCGUGUAUCUGUUUCAGACAGAGGGAGAGAGAGAGAAAGGGAGAUGUUUGGAAUGAACGGUCGCGUGGGGCUUGGCAUCUGGUGUUCCACAUCCAAAACCCCGUGCUCGUUUUGCUCGUCGUGCUGCAGCUGCUUUAGCAGGGGUUGGCGUGCUCUUGGAUCGUCGUCCCCGUUGGGUUUCCUGCCGUGGUGAAGGUUUCUUAAUAUACACUUGAUAUGAGCCUCCAAGAAGGUCUUUUACCUUUUUAUUCAGUAAACUGUUGCAUUGGGAUUUUAUCCACAUAUUGGUUACUGGCAUAGGUUUUGAUUGGUUUGUUUUGGACUCAUAAGGAGCAUCAGAGUGCAGUGUGACCUGCUUGUAAGGUUUCAAAGAUCAAAUCUCGCUGCUGUGCUGUGGAGUACUUUUAUAAUAGGCUGCACAAUUGCUGCAUUUAAAAUAGGCUCCACAAUUGCUGCAUCUCCGGUUUGAGUUUUUUUUUCAUGACUAUGUAGCUCGGCCGAUGCCUAGCUUAGCUUUGUUCAUUCAUACUUGGUCUGGGGCUGUGAUUACAAAAGAGUGGCUCGAGCGGCUUGAUUCUGGGAAACCCUAGUGGAAAGCAGAUCUCGCCGUGUGCCCCCAUUACAGCAGAGCGAUGAGCAUCUCUUAGCCGGUUGGGGAUGGAAGUGGAACAUGGGGUGCCGCCUGUCGAUGGGCUGUUUGGUUCUUGUGAUGUGUGUGUGUGUGUGAUCUGUUUCAGGCAGAGGGGGAGAGAGAGGGAGACAUGUUUGGAUUGAAUGGUCACGUGGGGCUUGGCAUCUGGUUUUCCACAUUCAAAAUCCCCUGCAUGUGUUGCUCAUCGUGCUGCGGCUGCGUUGGCAGGGGUUGGCGCGCGCUUGGAUUGUUGUCUCAGUUGGGUUUCCUGCCGCGGUGAAGGUUUCUUAAAUAUGCACUUGAUAUGAGCCCCCAAGGUCUUUUACCUUUUUUAUUCAGUAUAAACAGUUGCAUUGUGAUUCUUUCAACACAUUGGUUACCGGCAUAGGUUUUGAUUGGUUUGUUUUGGACUUGUAAGGAGCAUGAGUGCAGUGUGACCCACUUGGUGACAUCCCAAAGAUCAAAUCUUGCUGCAGCGUGGAGUACUGUUAGAAUAGAGUACACAAUUGCUGCAUAGAAAACUUCAUUUUCGUAAUCGCAGAAUUUUGAGCCUAUAGUUGAAAUGUGAUUGACCUAGAGUCUGCUCCCUCCCUGGAGUCUGAACUGGCAUAAUCAUUGUGGGUUAACUCACUGUGUUCUAUUUCGAGGUUUGUAAUGUGGCUCCCCUGUUUGGCCAGUUCCCCAGAUGAUUAUGUUUGUUCGGUUGUACAAGGCCGGGGGCUGUGAUUACAAAAUAGUGGCUCGAGCGGCUUGAUUAUGGAAACCCUAGUGGAACGGCAGAUCUUGCUGUGUGCCCCCAUUACAGCACCACGACGAGCAUCUCUUAGCCGGUUGGGGAUGGAGGUGGAACACGGAGUGCCGCCUGGCAACGGGCUCUUUGGCUCUUGUGAUGUGUGUAUGUGUAUCUGUUCUAGACAGAGGCGGUGAGUGAGGUGUUUGGAUUGAACAGUUGUGUGGGGCUUGCCAUCUGGUGUUCCACAUCCAAAACCCUUUCCCUGUGUUGCUCGUCGCGCUGUUGGUGCGUUGGCAGGGGUUGGCGCGUGCUAGGAUCACCGUCUCGGUUGGGUUUCCUGCCACAGUGAAGGUUUCUUAGAGCCUGUUUGGGACUGCUCUGCUCCUUAAUAUUCAGCUCUGCUUCAGAAAAAACAAGCCAAACGGGGUAGCUCUACGAUAUGCUGCUUCACAAAAAAACUAGAAUCUGGGAUACAACUUCAAAGUUUUUAUGAAGCUCCUGAGAGGGUGCUCCAAAAAAGACUAGAAGCUGGAGUUGGGGAAAAAUU